rnacentral:rRNA from 1 species
AUUGAACGCUGGCGGCAGGCCUAACACAUGCAAGUCGAGCGAGCGGCGGACGGGUGAGUAAUGUAUGGGGACUGCCCGAUAGAGGGGGAUAACUAAUGGAAACGGUAGCUAAUAACGCAUAUUAUUGGAUAACCCAUAUUGGAUUAGCUAGUAGGUGAGGUAAGGGCUCACAUAGGCGACGAUCCCUAGCUGGUCUGAGGGGAUGGUAAGCCACAGUGGGAGUGACACACGACACAGACUCCUGGGGGGGGAACAGUGGGGAAUAUGGCACAGUGGGCGCAAGCCAGAGGCAGCCGCGCCGCGUGUAUAAAGGAGGCCCUAGGGGUGUAAAGUACUUGCGGUCGGGGGGCGUUACCGACAGAAGAAGCACCGGCUAACUCCGUGCCAGCAGCCCCGUAAUAC